GAAUAAUCGAGAACAAAAAAAAAAAAAAUAAAAAAAACCAUUUUUACCCUACCCCCGUUUUUAACAAGGCUGUAGACACGAGGGAUAGAAAACCCGUCGCCCACCCACCACCACCACCACCACCACUACCACCCCCCCUCUCUCCCCGUUAACCCGGGAAAUAACGUUAUUCCUUUUAGCAUGUAUUUUAUAUAACAAUAUAUAAUACGACAAUUACACAUAAUAAUAUAUUUAAUAUUUUAAAUCGAUAUUAACGGUACGUAUAAUUGCGUGCAUAGAGUUUGCCAUGAUAGUAAUAAUUAAUUAAUCGUAUAAACAUUAACCGUUAAAACAAUACGACGAUAACGGGUCGCCGUACCGCCCCGACAUUACGACACGCGCCGUGACGAUAGCAAUAACAUUGAUAACGACCGUAGUAUCCGGCGCGCGGACAACGCGCGGCGGCGGCGACAAAGACGUGUGCG